UAUGGCAAGGAAACAUAUGUGGGGUGAGGUGUAUGAGCCUCUGGUCGAUGAUCAAUGGCCACACAACCCCCAUUUUUGUCGAAAAUAGCCAUGAACGACCAUUUUCAAUAAUAGUGAAGGCAAACACCUAUGGAUUUUUGACCAAGAAAUGGCCUCCACCAGAAAUCCAAGAAUGUGAUCUAUGGCAAGGAAACAUACGUGGGGUGAGGUGUACGAGCCUCUGAUCGAUGAUAAAUGGACACACAACCCUCAUUUUUGACGAAAAUAGCCAUGAACGACCAUUUUCAAUAAUUCCGAAGGCUAACACCUACGGAUUUUUGACCAAGAAAUGUUCUCCACCAGAAAUCCAAGAAUGUGAUCUAUGGCAAGGAAACAUAUGUGGGGUGAGGUGUAUGAGCCUCUGGUCGAUGAUCAAUGGCUACACAACCCCCAUUUUUGUCGAAAAUAGCCAUGAACGACCAUUUUCAAUAAUACUGAAGGCUAACACGUACGGAUUUUUGACCAAGAAAUGGUCUCCACCAGAAAUCCAAGAAUGUGAUCUAUGGCAAGAAAACAUAUGUGGGGUGACGUGUACGAGCCUCUGGUCGGUGAUCAAUGGCCAUACAGCCCCCAUUUUGUCGAAAAUAGCCAUGAAUGACCAUUUUCAAUAAUACCGAAGGCUAACACCUACGGAUUUUUGACCAAGAAAUGGCCUCCACCAGAAAUCCAAGAAUGUGAUCUAUGGCAAGGAAACAUAUGUGGGGUGAGGUUUACGAACCUCUGGUCGAUGAUCAAUGGCCACACAACCCCCAUUUUGGUCGAAAAUAGCCAUGAACGACCAUUUUCAAUAAUACCGAAGGCUAACACCUACGGAUUUUUGACCAAGAAAUGGUCUCCACCAGAAAUCCAAGAAUGUGAUCUAUGGCAAGGAAACAUAUGUG
rnacentral:lncRNA from 1 species